UACAGGACGAACGCUGGCGGCGUGCCUAACACAUGCAAGUCGAACGGAAAGGCCCAGCUUGCUGGGUGCUCGAGUGGCGAACGGGUGAGUAACACGUGGGUGAUCUGCCCCUGACUUCGGGAUAAGCUUGGGAAACUGGGUCUAAUACCGGAUAGGACAAUCGUUUAGUGUCGGUUGUGGAAAGUUUUUUCGGUUAGGGAUGAGCCCGCGGCCUAUCAGCUUGUUGGUGGGGUAAUGGCCUACCAAGGCGUCGACGGGUAGCCGGCCUGAGAGGGUGGACGGCCACAUUGGGACUGAGAUACGGCCCAGACUCCUACGGGAGGCAGCAGUGGGGAAUAUUGCACAAUGGGCGCAAGCCCUGAUGCAGCGACGCCGCGUGGGGGAUGACGGCCUUCGGGUUGUAAACCUCUUUCGACAGGGACGAAGCCUUUGUGACGGUACCUGUAUAAGAAGCACCGGCUAACUACGUGCCAGCCGCGGC
rnacentral:rRNA from 1 species